rnacentral:rRNA from 1 species
GAUGAACGCUGGCGGCGUGCCUAAUACAUGCAAGUCGAGCGAACAGAUGAGGGGCUUGCUCCUCUGACGUUAGCGGCGGACGGGUGAGUAACACGUGGAUAACCUACCUAUAAGACUGGGAUAACUUCGGGAAACCGGAGCUAAUACCGGAUAAUAUAUUGAACCGCAUGGUGCAAUAGUGAAAGACGGUUUUGCUGUCACUUAUAGAUGGAUACGCGCCGCAUUAGCUAGUUGGUAAGGUAACGGCUUACCACGGCAACGAUGCGUUGCCGACGGGAGAGGGGGGUAGCCCACACUGGAACGGGACCGGGGACAAUGGUACUGAGAGAGGCAGCAGUAGGGAAUCGUCCGCAAUGGGCGGGAGCCUGGCGGAGCGGCGGGGAGUGAGUGGUGGAGGUCUUCGGAUCGUAAUGCUCUGUUAUGGGGGAUGAACAAAUGUGUAAGUAACUAUGCACGUCUUGACGGUACCUGGUCAGGAAGCCACGGCUAACUACGUG